GUCUACUGCCAUGAACCCUGAACAAGCCCCAUCCCAUCUGAUCUCGAGAGCUAAGCAGGGUCGGGCCUGGUUAGUACUUGGAUGGGAGACCACCUAGGAAGACCAGGUGCUGUAGGCG
rnacentral:rRNA from 1 species